rnacentral:rRNA from 1 species
GUGGGGAAUCUUGCGCAAUGGGCGAAAGCCUGACGCAGCCAUGCCGCGUGAAUGAUGAAGGUCUUAGGAUUGUAAAAUUCUUUCACCGGGGACGAUAAUGACGGUACCCGGAGAAGAAGCCCCGGCUAACUUCGUGCCAGCAGCCGCGGUAAUACGAAGGGGGCUAACGUUGCUCGGAAUUACUGGGCGUAAAGGGCGCGUAGGCGGACAGUUUAGUCAGAGGUGAAAGCCCAGGGCUCAACCUUGGAAUUGCCUUUGAUACUGGCUGUCUUGAGUACGGGAGAGGUGAGUGGAACUCCGAGUGUAGAGGUGAAAUUCGUAGAUAUUCGGAAGAACACCAGUGGCGAAGGCGACUCACUGGCCCGUUACUGACGCUGAGGCGCGAAAGCGUGGGGAGCAAACAGGAUUAGAAACCCGUGUAGUCC